rnacentral:rRNA from 1 species
AUACAGAGGGGGCAAGCGUUAUUCGGAAUUAUUGGGCGUAAAGGGCGCGUAGGCGGUUUUUUAAGUCAGAUGUGUAAUCCCCCGAGCUCAACUUGGGAACUGCAUCUGAGACUGGAAGGCUAGAGUACUGGAGAGGGUGGUGGAAUUCCUCGUGUAGCGGUGAAAUGCGUAGAGAUGAGGAGGAACACCAGUGGCGAAGGCGGCCACCUGGACAGUAACUGACGCUGAGGCGCGAAAGUGUGGGUAGC